UACGUAGGGCGCAAGCGUUGUCCGGAAUUAUUGGGCGUAAAGAGCUCGUAGGCGGUUUGUCGCGUCUGCUGUGAAAACCUCAGGCUCAACCUGGGGCUUGCAGUGGGUACGGGGCAGACUAGAGUGCGGUAGGGGUGACUGGAAUUCCUGGUGUAGCGGUGGAAUGCGCAGAUAUCAGGAGGAACACCGAUGGCGAAGGCAGGUCACUGGGCCGCAACUGACGCUGGAGGAGCGGAAAGCAUGGG
rnacentral:rRNA from 1 species